rnacentral:rRNA from 1 species
AUUGAACGCUGGCGGCAGGCCUAACACAUGCAAGUCGAGCGGAGCGGCUGACGGGUGAGUCAUGCCUAGGAAUCUGCCUGGCAGUGGGGGAUAACGUCCGGAAACGGGCGCUAAUACCGCAUACUAUCAGAUUAGUCUAGGGCGGAUUAGCUAGUUGGUGGGGUAAAGGCUUACCAAGUCGACGAUCCGUAACUGGGCUGUGAGGAUGAUCAGUCACACUGGAAAUGAGACACGGUCCAGACUCCUACGGUAGGCAGCAGUGGGGAAUAUUGGAAAAUGGGCGAAAGCCUGAUCCAGCCAUGCUGCGUGUGUGAAGAAGGUCUUCGGAUUGUAAAGCACUUUAAGUUGGGAGGCGUUACCAACAGAAUAAGCACCGGCUAACUUCGUGCCAGCAGCCGCGGUAAUUC